rnacentral:rRNA from 1 species
CCUACGGGAGGCAGCAGUGAGGAAUAUUGGUCAAUGGGCGCGAGCCUGAACCAGCCAAGUAGCGUGAGGGAUGACUGCCCUAUGGGUUGUAAACUUCUUUUAUUAGGGAAUAAAAUGCCUUACGUGUACGUUUUUGCCUGUACCUUAUGAAUAAGGAUCGGCUAACUCCGUGCCAGCAGCCGCGGUAAUACGGAGGCUCCGAGCGUUAUCCGGAUUUAUUUGGUUUAAAGGGUGCGUCGGGGGGUUGUUAAGUUAGGUGUGAAAUUUUGCGGCUAAACCGUCGAAUUGCAAUGGAAACGGGCAGGCUAGAGUACAGUGGAGGUAGGCGGAAUGAGUGGAGUAGCGGUGAAAUGCUUAGAUAUGACGAAGAACUCCGAUUGCGAAGGCAGCUUACCAGGCUGCAACUGACGUUGAGGCUCGAGAGCGUGGGGAGCAAACAGGAUUAGAUACCCGAGUAGUC